AGAGAGAGACAUGCGCGCAUAUCAAUAAGCGGAGGAAAAGAAACUAACAAGGAUUCCCCUAGUAACGGCGAGUGAAGCGGGAAGAGCUCAAAUUUGAAAUCUUAAAGGGUUUCCCUUUACGAAUUGUAGUUUAAAGAAGUGUUUUCUGUUGAGGUUUUGGUAAAAGUUCUUUGGAAUAGGACAUCAUAGAGGGUGAGAAUCCCGUAUUUGACCUUUACUUUCAACUUUGUGAUACACUUUCAAAGAGUCGGAUUGUUUGGGAAUGCAGUCCAAAAUGGGUGGUAAAUUUCAUCUAAAGCUAAAUAUUGGCGAGAGACCGAUAGCGAACAAGUACCGUGAGGGAAAGAUGAAAAGAACUUUGAAAAGAGAGUUAAACAGUACGUGAAAUUGUCAAAAGGGAAGCGUUUGACACCAGUGUUGUUUUUCUGAAAAUCAAUUAAAGAACUGUUUAUGCUAAGUUGUUUAGACUUUAUCAGCUAACUGUUUAGUUUUGAGCUUUUCUUUAAUGCACUUUUCUGUUAACAAGUCAACAUCAAUUUCUUUUGCUGUAAAAAAGCUUGAGGAAGGUGGCUUGAGAUUCGUCUUAAGUGUUUAUAGCCUCUUGCCUAUGCAGUCGGAGAGAUUGAGGUCUGCAGCGUAGAUCCUUCGGGGCUAAAUGCAUUUGUGCUAAGUUAUAGCAUUUUAUAGACAACUUGUUGACUAUGAUUUGUCUUGUAGCUUACUCGCUUAUGUUAUUUUACCUACGCUUAGGAUGUUGACGCAUGAGAUAUACGC
rnacentral:rRNA from 1 species